UGAGUAACACGUAUCCAACCUGCCGUCUACUCUUGGACAGCCUUCUGAAAGGAAGAUUAAUACAAGAUGGCAUCAUGAGUCCGCAUGUUCACAUGAUUAAAGGUGUUCCGGUAGACGAUGGGGAUGCGUUCCAUUAGAUAGUAGGCGGGGUAACGGCCCACCUAGUCUUCGAUGGAUAGGGGUUCUGAGAGGAAGGUCCCCCACAUUGGAACUGAGACACGGCCCAG
rnacentral:rRNA from 1 species